rnacentral:rRNA from 1 species
CUACGGGGGGCAGCAGUCGAGAAUCUUCCGCAAUGGGCGCAAGCCUGACGGAGCAAUGCCGCGUGUAGGAUGAAGGCCUUUGGGUCGUAAACUACUGUCACAGGGGAUGAAUAAAUGACAGUACCCUGAGAGGAAGCCACGGCUAACUACGUGCCAGCAGCCGCGGUAAUACGUAGGUGGCGAGCGUUGUUCGGAUUUAUUGGGCGUAAAGGGUUCGUAGGGGGUUAUCUAAGUUUGAUGUGAAAUCCCGUGGCUUAACCACGGAACUGCAUUGAAAACUGGACAACUAGAGUAUCGGAGAGGAAAGCGGAAUUUCUGGAGUAGCGGUGGAAUGCGUAGAUAUCAGAAAGAACAUCGACAGCGAAGGCAGCUUUCUGGACGGUUACUGACCCUGAGGGACGAAAGCAUGGGUAGCGAACAGGAUUAGAUACCCCAGUAGUC